GCUGGGUGUGGUGGCUCACUCCUGUAGUCCCAGUUACUCGGGAGACUGAGGUGGGAGGAUUGCUUGAGCCCAGGAGCUCGAGGCUGCAGUGAGCAGUGACUGAGCCAUUGCACUCCAGCCUGGGCAACACAGCGAGACCCUGUCUCAA
rnacentral:SRP_RNA from 1 species